AGUGAACGCUGGCGGUAGGCCUAACACAUGCAAGUCGAACGGCAGCACAGUAAGAGCUUGCUCUUACGGGUGGCGAGUGGCGGACGGGUGAGGAAUACAUCGGAAUCUACUUUUUCGUGGGGGAUAACGUAGGGAAACUUACGCUAAUACCGCAUACGACCUACGGGUGAAAGCAGGGGAUCUUCGGACCUUGCGCGAUUGAAUGAGCCGAUGUCGGAUUAGCUAGUUGGCGGGGUAAAGGCCCACCACGGCGACGAUCCGUAGCUGGUCUGAGAGGAUGAUCAGCCAAACUGGAAAUGAGCGACGUUCCAAACCCCUACGGGGGAGAGCAUGGGGGAAUAUGGGACAAGGGGCGAAAGCCUAAUCCAGCCAUACCGGGGGGGUGAAGAAGGCAUUCGGGUUGUAAAGGCCUUUUGGUGGGAAAAAAAAGCAUCAGGUUAAUACCCCGAUGUUCUGACGGGACCCAAAGAAAAAGCAACGGCGAACUUCGG
rnacentral:rRNA from 1 species